rnacentral:rRNA from 1 species
GACGAACGCUGGCGGCGUGCUUAACACAUGCAAGUCGAACGGAAAGGCCCUGCUUUUGUGGGGUGCUCGAGUGGCGAACGGGUGAGUAACACGUGAGUAACCUGCCCUUGACUUUGGGAUAACUUCAGGAAACUGGGGCUAAUACCGGAUAGGAGCUCCUGCUGCAUGGUGGGGGUUGGAAAGUUUCGGCGGUUGGGGAUGGACUCGCGGCUUAUCAGCUUGUUGGUGGGGUAGUGGCUUACCAAGGCUUUGACGGGUAGCCGGCCUGGGAGGGUGACCGGCCACAUUAGGACUGAGAUACGGCCCAGACUCCUACGGGAGGCAGCAGUGGAGAAUAUUGCACAAUGGGCGGAAGCCUGAUGCAGCAACGCCGCGUGCGGGAUGACGGCCUUCGGGUUGUAAACCGCUGUCGCCUGUGACGAAGCGUGAGUGACGGUAAUGGGUAAAGAAGCACCGGCUAACUACGUG